rnacentral:tRNA from 1 species
GAGAGAGGCACGCUACGCAAUAAAUACUGCUAAUUUUUACCCUCAUGGUUGAACUCCAUGACUCACUCG